rnacentral:rRNA from 1 species
AUUGAACGCUGGCGGAAUGCUUUACACAUGCAAGUCGAACGGCAGCACGGGGGCAGCCCUGGUGGCGAGUGGCGAACGGGUGAGUAAUACAUCGGAACGUGCCCGGUCGUGGGGGAUAACGUAGCGAAAGAUAUGCUAAUACCGCAUACGAUCUGAGGAUGAAAGCGGGGGACCUUCGGGCCUCGCGCGAUCGGAGCGGCCGAUGUCAGAUUAGGUAGUUGGUGGGGUAAAGGCCUACCAAGCCGACGAUCUGUAGCUGGUCUGAGAGGACGACCAGCCACACUGGGACUGAGACACGGCCCAGACUCCUACGGGAGGCAGCAGUGGGGAAUUUUGGACAAUGGGCGCAAGCCUGAUCCAGCCAUUCCGCGUGCAGGACGAAGGCCUUCGGGUUGUAAACUGCUUUUGUACGGAACGAAAAGGCUCUGGCUAAUACCUGGGGCUCAUGACGGUACCGUAAGAAUAAGCACCGGCUAACUACGUG